CCCAGACUCCUACGGGAGGCAGCAGUGGGGGAUAUUGCACAAUGGGGGGAACCCUGAUGCAGCGACGCCGCGUGGGUGAGGAAGUACCCCGGUAUGUAAAGCCCUUUCGGCAGGGAAGAAAAUGACGGUACCUGGCGAAGAAGCCCCGGCUAACUAUGUGCCAGCAGCCGCGGUAAUACAUAGGGGGCAAGCGUUAUCCGGAUUUAUUGGGUGUAAAGGGUGCGUAGACGGAGAAACAAGUUGGUUGUGAAAUCCCUCGGCUCAACUGAGGAACUGCAACCAAAACUAUUUCCCUUGAGUGUCGGAGAGGAAAGUGGAAUUCCUAGUGUAGCGGUGAAAUGCGUAGAUAUUAGGAGGAACACCAGUGGCGAAGGCGACUUUCUGGACGAUAACUGACGUUGAGGCACGAAAGUGUGGGGAGCAAACAGGAUUAGAUACCCCGGUA
rnacentral:rRNA from 1 species